UUUCAUAUGUUUAUUUAUUUCGUAUUCAAUGUCAAACUAUCAUUCUCAUGUGAAUGCCCAAUUUUAAAGAAGAUAAAACAGUAGAAGAAUAAUUUCAUAAAGUAAACAUUUAAGAAAAUGCUUUAAAGUGAAAUAAAAUGAAAAAUAAUUCAUAUUUGUGCUAUAAUUAAUUUAGUUUUUCAAUGUAAUUGUAUUUUUAUAAAUAUUGAAGAUGUUUUUCUUUCUUUUUUACAAUAUGGCUUUUUACAAUACAAUUGGCUGUUCACAAGCAGAUAUCGGAAUUCUGUAUUUUAAUAAACGAUACAAAACACAAAGACCAGUUGUGAAUUGGACAAAUAUAUCUUGAUAUGCAUCACUACAACAAUACAAAAACAACCAAAGUAAAUUUAUAAAGUAGACUCAGUAGAACAGCUGACUAUUUUUUUUAAAACUCACUUAUGGACGAAAAUGUCAAAAUUGUUUACGUUGCAAUUUUUGACAGCUUCAACCAAAGACUUUUAUGUCAAAUUAUUUGCCAUAUUUGUUUUAGUGGAAAAAAAUUAAAUUGUGUGUUGUUUUAUAAAAAAUAAAAAUAAAAGUGAAAAAACUUGAAUUUUGUGUGGUUUAUGUACUAAAAAAUUAUGAAAAGGUGUAUAAUUUGCAAGAAAAUUUCCAAAAAAGGAAAUGGGAGCUUUUUUAUUGUCCCCACAGAUGAGAGGAGGCGACGAAAGUGGAUGGAGGCUUGCAAGAUGCAACUCCCGGCACCUGCUUAUGUGUGUAUGGACCAUUUCUCUCCAUCAAAUUUUAUUAAAAGCGGUCGGUGUUUGAACUUGAUAUAUGAUGCUGUUCCUUCCGUUCAACCAAUUACUCGAAAAAUAAACGCAAACAAUCACCUGCCAUAAUGAAGUGUUUUACAAAAUACAAAUUUAAAAAUUGAUAGGUGAAGUGAGGCGUAGGGAUUUACGAAAUUAUGCCCUAAAUAAAAGUUCAAAUUAUUCGCAAAAUAUGAACAUAGUCACGGAAGACUCCUUAUCGGCUCGUUGUCCACCCUCUAAAAGUGGCAUAUCACAAAUGGAAGGUGCUUUAGAUGAUGGCAUGGAUAAUAUAGGUACCAAAUUCUUAAGUCUACGUUAUCCGGAUGAUAUGCGCAUAACAGAUAGAUAUUACACAAUCGCCUGGAACUUCUGAUCAUGAAUUUAUUGAGGAGCAAGAAAAACAAUUAUUUACAUUGUGCACUCGUACCAUGACUUUACCUUUGGGUAGAGGAGGUAUGUUUACUUUAAGAACCAACGGAAUCAAUGCCAAUACCAAAACUAUGUCUAACCAGCAAGAAACCUAUUAAAGGAACCACUGUUGAAAUGCAGCAAAUUGAAUUCCAGGCCAAUAUGAGUUUAUGGCCAACAUUUCAUAAUGGUGUAGCAGCUGGCCUGAAAAUAUGAUCAAAUGCACGGGAUGUACCCUCCACCUGGAUUGUUUACAAUAAGCCAAAACGACCAGCCGAGAAUAAGUGAAUAAGUCCAGAAGUAGUUUCCAUAUUUCUUGGAGAAAAAAUACUAUAUUUCUAUUAAAUGUAUGUCAAACUUAAAUAAAUUGCUGACACAUUUUUUA